rnacentral:rRNA from 1 species
AGAGUUAAAAAGUGCUUGAAAUUGUUGAGGGGGAAGCCAUUGGCGGCUGUGGGUGCACCUGGGCUCAAAGUGUCCCACCGGACACCUGAAAGUGCCAGGAGCUGGUCAGCAUGGGCUACUCUUGCGAGAUAAACCUUUCUUUGUCGAAAGUCUAUGUCGCGGGGGUGGCCGAGGAACGAAGGGCGCUCUGCCUCCGAGCUGCGCUCUCAAGAUGCUGGCGGAAGGCUGCCAAUGGGCCCGUCUUGAAACACGGAC